AGGAAGUGGGGAUGACGUCAAGUCAUCAUGGCCUUACGGCCUGGGCUACACACGUGCUACAAUGGUCGGUACAAAGGGUUGCCAAGCCGCGAGGUGGAGCCUAAUCCCAUAAACCGAUCGUAGUCCGGAUCGCAGUCUGCAACUCGACUGCGUGAAGUCGGAAUCGCUAGUAAUCGUGAAUCAGAAUGUCACGGUGAAUACGUUCCCGGGCCUU
rnacentral:rRNA from 1 species